AAUCAACGCUGGCGGCGUGCCUAACACAUGCAAGUCGAGCGGGAAAGGGGGCUUCGGCCCCUGAGUAUAGCGGCGGACGGGUGAGUAACACGUGGGUAAUUUGCCCUUGGGUGUGGAAUAACUCAGGGAAACUUGAGCUAAUACCGCAUGACAUCCCCUUCACACACGAGUCGGGGAUCAAAGCCGGGACCCUUCGGGGCCUGGCGCCUGAGGAGAAGCCCGCGCCCGAUUAGCUAGUUGGGAGGUAAUGGCUCACCAAGGCUUCGAUCGGUAGCCGGCCUGAGAGGGCGGACGCCACACUGGGACUGAGACACGGGCCCAGACUCCUACGGGAGGCAGCAGUGGGGAAUUUUGUCAAUGGGGGAAACCCUGAACAAGCAACGCCGCGUGGAGGACGACGACCUCGGUUGUAACGU
rnacentral:rRNA from 1 species